AUUGAACGCUGGCGGAAUGCUUUACACAUGCAAGUCGAACGGCAGCACGGGAGCUUGCUCCUGGUGGCGAGUGGCGAACGGGUGAGUAAUACAUCGGAACGUACCCAGUUAUGGGGGAUAACUAACCGAAGGGUUAGCUAAUACCGCAUACGCCCUGAGGGGGAAAGCGGGGGACCGUAAGGCCUCGCGUAAUUGGAGCG
rnacentral:rRNA from 1 species